UUCCCUUCAUCCACCCUCUUUCGCUCUGCGCCGGCCACAAGGUGGGGCUGCAGCGGCGAGAGCGCCUGAAGUCGGGGCGCACUCGCCUCGUAACCUUCUGGUCACCCAGACAAACAGCCGCGAAUGUUCCAAGUUUUAUCCAAAGUGGCUGCACCAUUUAAUAUUCUCCUUGGUAAAUGUUUGAAGGUUCCAAUUUCUUCACAUCCUCACCAACAGGUGACAAGAGGACCACCUAGUCUCUGUGAAAUGGCUGCAGAAUAUAAGUUGAUGCUGCUGGCAUUUCCCUUAGAGUUUCCCUGAUGACUUUAGGUGAAUUAGAAGAUUGGAUUUCUUACCCUGCAAAGCCGAGGCAAAGGCCAGACCAAUGGAAAAACAUAGAAAAACUAUCAAGGCUCAGCUCAAGAACCACCCUCUUCAAGUUGUUUUCCUGAUUUGUUCAGCUCAAACAUGUUCUCCUCUUUCCUGAGGACACAGCAAGAAGACACCUGUCUGUGAACCAGGAAUCUGACACUCAGCAAACACCUGUCAGCGCCUUCAUCUUGGACUUCCAACCUCCAGA